rnacentral:rRNA from 1 species
GAUGAACGCUGGCGGCGUGCCUAAUACAUGCAAGUCGAGCGAACAGACGAGGAGCUUGCUCCUCUGACGUUAGCGGCGGAAGGGUGAGUAACACGUGGAUAACCUACCUAUAAGACUGGGAUAACUUCGGGAAACCGGAGCUAAUACCGGAUAAUAUAUUGAACCGCAUGGUUCAAUAGUGAAAGACGGUUUUGCUGUCACUUAUAGAUGGAUCCGCGCCGCAUUAGCUAGUUGGUAAGGUAACGGCUUACCAAGGCAACGAUGCGUAGCCGACCUGAGAGGGUGAUCGGCCAAAAUGGAACUGAGACACGGUCCAGACUCCUAAGGGAGGCAGCAGUAGGGAAUCUUCCGCAAUGGGCGAAAGCCUGACGGAGCAACGCCGCGUGAGUGAUGAAGGUCUUCGGAUCGUAAAACUCUGUUAUUAGGGAAGAACAAAUGUGUAAGUAACUAUGCACGUCUUGACGGUACCUAAUCAGAAAGCCACGGCUAACUACGUG